rnacentral:rRNA from 1 species
GAACGCCCCGCAAGGGGAGUGGCAGACGGGUGAGUAACGCGUGGGAACAUACCCUUCGGUUCGGAAUAACUCAGGGAAACUUGAGCUAAUACCGGAUACGUGCGAGAGCAGAAAGAUUCAUCGCCGAAGGAUUGGCCCGCGUUCGAUUAGCUAGUUGGUGAGGUAACGGCUCACCAAGGCGACGAUCGAUAGCUGGUCUGAGAGGAUGAUCAGCCACAUUGGGACUGAGACACGGCCCAAACUCCUACGGGAGGCAGCAGUGGGGAAUAUUGGACAAUGGGCGAAAGCCUGAUCCAGCCAUGCCGCGUGAGUGAUGAAGGCCCUAGGGUUGUAAAGCUCUUUCGUCAGGGACGAUAAUGACGGUACCUGAAGAAGAAGCCCCGGCUAACUUCGUG